rnacentral:ncRNA from 1 species
CGUCUUCAGGGCAGGGUGAAAUUCCCGACCGGCGGUAUAGUCCGCGAGCCUUCGGGCCGAUCCGGUGUGACUCCGGAACCGACAGUAAAGUCUGGAUGGAAGAAGACG